rnacentral:rRNA from 1 species
GACGAACGCUGGCGGCGUGCUUAACACAUGCAAGUCGAACGGAAAGGCCCUGCUUUUGUGGGGUGCUCGAGUGGCGAACGGGUGAGUAACACGUGAGUAACUUGCCCUUGACUUUGGGAUAACUUCAGGAAACUGGGGCUAAUACCGGAUAGGAGCUCCUGCUGCAUGGUGGGGGUUGGAAAGUUUCGGCGGUUGGGGAUGGACUCGCGGCUUAUCAGCUUGUUGGUGGGGUAGUGGCUUACCAAGGCUUUGACGGGUAGCCGGCCUGAGAGGGCGACCGGCCACAUUGGGACUGAGAUACGGCCCAGACUCCUACGGGAGGCAGCAGUGGGGAAUAUUGCACAAUGGGCGGAAGCCUGAUGCAGCAACGCCGCGUGCGGGAUGACGGCCUUCGGGUUGUAAACCGCUUUCGCCUGUGACGAAGCGUGAGUGACGGUAAUGGGUAAAGAAGCACCGGCUAACUACGUG